GGAAGCAUAGCUCAGUUGGUUAGAGCGCACGGUUCACAUCCGUGAGGUCGAGAGUUCGAGUCUCCCUGUUUCCACCA
rnacentral:tRNA from 2 species